rnacentral:tRNA from 1 species
GCGGGGUUAGAGCAGUUUGGUAGCUCGCAAGGCUCAUAACCUUGAGGUCACGGGUUCAAAUCCUGUCUCCGCA